rnacentral:rRNA from 1 species
AUACGUAGGUGGCAAGCGUUGUCCGGAUUUACUGGGCGUAAAGAGUAUGUAGGCGGAUAUUUAAGUCAGAUGUGAAAUUCCCGGGCUUAACCUGGGCGCUGCAUUUGAUACUGGAUAUCUAGUGUGUAGGAGAGGAAAGCGGAAUUCCUAGUGUAGCGGUGAAAUGCGUAGAGAUUAGGAAGAACACCAGUGGCGAAGGCGGCUUUCUGGACCAUAACUGACGCUGAGAUACGAAAGCGUGGGGAGCAAACAGGAUUAGAUACCCUGGUAGUCCACGUCGUAAACGAUGAAUACUAGGUGUCGGGGGUAUUACCACCCUCGGUGCCGCAGCAAACGCAAUAAGUAUUCCGCCUGGGGAGUACGGUCGCAAGAUUAAA